AUUGAACGCUGGCGGCAGGCCUAACACAUGCAAGUCGAGCGAGCGGCGGACGGGUGAGUAAUGUAUGGGGACUGCCCGAUAGAGGGGGAUAACUCCUGGAAACGGUGGCUAAUACCGCAUACUAUCGGAUAACCCAUAUGGGAUUAGCUAGUAGGGGGGGUAAAGGCUCACCUCGGCGACGAUCUCUAGCUGGUCUGAGAGGAUGAUCAGCCACACGGGAACUUAGACACGGCCCAGACGCCAAGGGAGGCAGCAGGGGGGAAGAUUGCACAAUGGGCGAGAGCCUGAUGCAGCCAUGACGCGUGUAUGAAGAAGGCCUUAGGGGUGUAAAGUACUAUCAGCGGUGAGGCGUUACCCGCAGAAGAAGCACCGGCUAACUCCGGGCCAGCAGCCGCGGUAAUUC
rnacentral:rRNA from 1 species